AGAGCUGAAAUAAGAUAGAAAAUGCCCAAUUACUACCAAUGGAAUUGGUGACUUACAAUUAUAUUGAAGGGCUUUAAAAGAAAUGUAUUAUAGAUGAUUUUUCUAGAAAGCCAGAAAACAAAACAAAAACUAAGUUCUUAAAAUAUCACAAAUACUACCAUGCUGAGAUAUCAUUCACUUCUUACUCUUAAGAUGGUCUCAGAUGCUGGUAUUAGGUACAAACAGUUCUGUCCUCGGGUAUCCUCGACUUACUUCAUCCUCACCCUGGCUCUACUGCUUUCUCAUACAGCUCAACUCUCUUGGCCCUAGCUUCUGACAGAUGGUUGUCCCGCUGAGCAGAGGUGCAUAGGCAGUGCUAUGUGUAAAAGAAUUCUCAUUAUUUGCACAGCCCAGGCUCAUAAAGCUUAGAUAGUUAAUAGUUGUUAAAUACAUAUUCUGGAAAGCUAUACACAGAUAUGGGAAGAGACUUCAGAAAAUGCAGCAGUGUAGAAUGAACCAUGAUGGACUUGAAUCCCAGAAUUACAUCUUUAUCACAAUGAUCAUUUUAAAGCUCACAGGUUCUCAAUCAUUAACAAUUAUGCUGAUUCAGCAUUAAUAAACCAAAUCUAUUAAGUUAA